UACGGAGGAUGCAAGCGUUAUCCGGAAUGAUUGGGCGUAAAGCGUCCGCAGGUGGCGAUGUAAGUCUGCUGUUAAAGAGUCUAGCUCAACUAGAUAAGAGCAGUGGAAACUACAUAGCUAGAGUACGUUCGGGGCAGAGGGAAUUCCUGGUGUAGCGGUGAAAUGCGUAGAUAUCGGGAGGAACACCUGUGGCGAAGGCGGCCCCCUGGUUGGAUACUGACGCUGAUACGCGAAAGCGUGGGGAGCAAACAGG
rnacentral:rRNA from 1 species